rnacentral:rRNA from 1 species
GACGUAGGAGGCGAGCGUUAUCCGGAUUCACUGGGCGUAAAGCGCAUGUAGGCGGCUGGACAAGUCGUGUGUUAAAGCCCCUGGCUCAACUGGGGGAGGUCAUGCGAGACUGUACGGCUGGAGGGCAACAGAGGCACGUGGAACUCCCGGUGUAGCGGUGGAAUGCGUAGAGAUCGGGAAGAACACCAGUGGCGAAGGCGGCUACCUGGACCGGAACUGACGCUGAUGCGCGAAAGCGUGGGUAGCAAACAGG